UCCGAUAUGGUGUAAUGGUUAGCAUAGCUGGCUCUCACCCAGCAGUUCCGGGUUCGAUUCCCGGUAUCGGAA
rfam:Orchesella cincta Ocin01_Sc3318, whole genome shotgun sequence.